CCAGCCCGGUCAGAAGCCCGCCGCCUCCCCGCGGCCCCGGCGAGCAGCCGCCGCCCGCCGCACCCAUGAGCAUGUCAGUGAAAAAACCAGUGAAUCGCCUUCCAAACCAGGAGAAAAGAAAGGAUCAGAUGAGAUGUAGAGGAAUUACAGAACCAAAAGUUGCAUGGACUAACAAGCCAAAGUUAAAAUAACUAGAGAGGAGGAAAAAGAAAAAUGAAAACACUUAACAUCAGCAACUUUAAAUACAGUAGAACAAAUAAGUCUUUCCAGACCUGCAAUCAAAUCUAUUUAAAGGAUGAAACUGACACAUCCGGCCACACUGAGAGAGUGUGAAUCUUUUAGCAACAUAUUUCAGUAAAGUCCUGGGGAAUGGAAUUUAAAGUAUAAAAUGGGCAUGAUCUCAGAGAGCCAAUUUUAAAAGCUUCAAAUUUAACAAUGGAUUUAUUUUU
rnacentral:sRNA from 1 species